rnacentral:rRNA from 1 species
UACGGGGGGGGCAAGCGUUGUUCGGAAUUACUGGGCGUAAAGGGCUUGUAGGUGGCCAACUAAGUCAGACGUGAAAUCCCCGGGCUCAACCUGGGAACUGCAUUUGUGACUGCAUGGCUGGAGUGCGGCAGAGGGGGAUGGAAUUCCGCGUGUAGCAGUGAAAUGCGUAGAUAUGCGGAGGAACACCGAUGGCGAAGGCAAUCCCCUGGGCCUGCACUGACGCUCAUGCACGAAAGCGUGGGGAGCAAACAGG